CUCAGGCGGUGGCGCAGGGACCGAUCCGCAGGAAGCCGCUGCCGGCGGCGUGUAAAUAUCCGAGUUUGGGCCGAGAUCACCUCGGGGCCGUGGUGGCAGAGCAGGAAGGUGACACAGAGCUGUGGGGAGCGGUUCGGCCGAGCGCCGGGGCAGCAGAGGAAUGAUUUUCAAAAGGAAUCCAUGCAGUGAAUGUGAUGAACCACCAAUCUGCCUGAUGCUACUACCCCAACUCUGUCCUUCAUCAGAUUAAGUUCUCUUCUUACCUCACUGAGCAGCAGCAGAAAGGUUAUCUGUUUGCAACCAUGACCAGUCUAGUGUAUACUAGUGUGUACUGCUGGGACUCUGAUGAGACCUGAUUUCCUUGAAGUCACA